rnacentral:rRNA from 1 species
UGAGGAAUUUUGCGCAAUGGGAGCAAUCCUGACGCAGCAACGCCGCGUGGGUGAUGAAGGCCUUCGGGUCGUAAAGCCCUGUCAGGUGGGAAGAAUGUCCCGGGACUGAACAGGUUUUGGGAGUGACGGUACCACCAGAGGAAGCACCGGCUAACUCCGUGCCAGCAGCCGCGGUGAUACGGAGGGUGCAAGCGUUAUUCGGAAUUACUGGGCGUAAAGCGCGUGUAGGCGGUCAUGCAAGUCUGAGGUGAAAGCCCCGGGCUUAACCCGGGAAGUGCAUUGGAAACUGUGGGACUUGAGUACUGGAGAGGAUGGUGGAAUUCCCGGUGUAGAGGUGAAAUUCGUAGAGAUCGGGAGGAAUAUCAGUGGCGAAGGCGCCCAUCUGGACGGUAACUGACGCUGAGACGCGAAAGCGUGGGGAGCAAACA